UGUAAGCGUAUACCAAAGUUGUUGCAGUUAAAACGCUCGUAGUCGGAAUUUGGCAGUUCCGGAUGUGUGCACGUCGUGUGCGCACUUCGCGGGUAUUGCUUUUGUGGUCUUGCGUAGGAUGAGGCACUUUUAUUAGUGAACGUCCUCACGCAACCACUUUUUACUGUGAGAAAAUCAGAGUGCUCAAAGCAGGCAUUUGCCGUGAAUGUAUUAGCAUGGAAUAAUAGAAUAGGACUUGGUUCUAUUUUGUUGGUUUGUUGGGACUGAGUAAUGAUUAAGAGGGACAGUUGGGGGCAUUUGUAUUUCGGUGCUAGAGGUGAAAUUCUUAGAUUACCGAAAGACAAACUGCUGCGAAAGCGUCUGCCAAGGAUGUUUUCAUUGA
rnacentral:rRNA from 1 species